UGUCUGCAUGGCUUUUCUCAGUCAGCCAGUCAUCAAUAAAUCUCUCCACAGAUGAGGAGUGAAUAAGGAGGGGAAAAAAACAGAGAAAGGGGAGAGAAGAGUAUGGGAAAAAAAAUCUAGUAGAGGAGAGGAAGACAGCAGACAGGAGAGGUUAGAAAAGAUAGGAGAAGGGAGGGAAGGCGCAUCAAGGAAACGUUUCCAAAGGUAAAAAAAAAAAAAAAAAAAAAAAAAAAAGAGAGAGAGAGAUGAAGAAGAUGGGAGUUCAACAGAAGAACUGAAGAUGUAAGAAGUGGGGAGGCGUGUUCAGAGAGCAGGAGAGCAGAGAGAGAAGGUGAGAGCAAAUUCCGUCACUGAGAGAAGAAGAAAAAGGAAGGUCAAUAAUUUUCGUCUCUAUUAAAGCUGGGUUCUGUGCAGGACAUACAGGUGUUGUUGUUCUUUUUCUUUCAUUCUUUCUUUCUUUCUCUGCAUUGCUUGUGUUCCUUUAGGCAAUUCAAGAACUAGGAACGUCCAGGAACAUUUGCACAACUUUGUCAUGUCUCCUUAAUCUCAGCUGCUUUAAAAUACCCAACCGAUGUCAAGUGGGGGUCACCUCCUCCAGGGCACCCUGCAAUCCAGGAAAAACUCACCUUCAGGAAGGAGCAGAGAGAUUUUCCACGCUCGGCCAAGAAUCCUCUUCUGCCACCCAGCACAUCCAUUGCUGAGCAGGACACCAUCACUCCCAUCAGCGUGUUGCCCUCUGUUCCCACGCCCUCAAGAGCAAAACAGCCACGCACAGCUGACCACAAAGCCUUUGCAGCAACCACCGGCAGACACAGAGCUUGCACACAUCCACCGCCAGGGACGUGCUGGGAGAUGAUGUCUCUGGGCCCAGGGCACGGCAGCAUUGGCUUCAGUGCUUUCAUGCCUCCUGACAGCAAACCUCUGCUGCCAAAGCAUCCUUUGCCCAAGGAAACCGUGCCAUCAAGCACAACGCCUUCUUUCUCCCCCGAGUCUCUCCAGCCGGCAGUGAAAAAGACAGACACAGCUUUCAGGAAGCCAAGAAACACAAACGCACUCCAUCUAGCAAAUAACCCCAGCACUGCUUACCCCUUCCUGAGGAACAGGGCACACAAAAGCCCACCCAGGAGCAGACCUCAAGCAGAGCUCCUUCCCUGCGGGCAGCCAGCCCUUCCGUGAGCUCAGGGCCGGGUGGAACCAGGCUGCACCCCUCGCUCAUGCAAGAGAAUCGCCUCCAGCUGCUCCCCACAGCACAGCAAGGCGGAAGGAAGAUUCAAGCCUGGCAAGGAGAAAAGACAACUCCGCCGCUCUGCAGCUUCACGGCUUCUCCUCGCUGCCUUCUGCUGCUCCCGGCAGCGCCUCGCCGCCAUUCUUUGCUCCUUGGAGCCCCUUCCCGCCGCUGCCGCUGCUUUCCGGGAGUCCGCUGCGCUCCCAGCACAGAGCCGGCCCCUGCAGGUCUCUGAUUGGUCAGCGGCAUUUCCAUCCCGCCCUCUCUGGCCUCUGAUUGGUCAGUGGCAACUCCUUCCCGCCCCCGGUGGC
ensembl:lncRNA